rnacentral:rRNA from 1 species
CGAAGGGCUAGCGUUGCUCGGAAUUACUGGGCGUAAAGGGAGCGUAGGCGGACAUUUAAGUCAGGGUGAAAUCCCAGAGCUCAACUCUGGAACUGCCUUUGAUACUGGGUGUCUUGAGUGUGAUAGAGGUAUGUGGAACUCCGAGUGUAGAGGUGAAAUUCGUAGAUAUUCGGAAGAACACCAGUGGCGAAGGCGACAUACUGGAUCAUUACUGACGCUGAGGCUCGAAAGCGUGGGAGCAAACAGGAUU